GACGAACGCUGGCGGCGUGCUUAACACAUGCAAGUCGAACGGAAAGGCCCUGCUUGCAGGGUACUCGAGUGGCGAACGGGUGAGUAACACGUGGGUGAUCUGCCCUGCACUUCGGGAUAAGCCUGGGAAACUGGGUCUAAUACCGGAUAGGAGCCAUUUUUAGUGUGAUGGUUGGAAAGUUUUUUCGGUGUAGGAUGAGCUCGCGGCCUAUCAGCUUGUUGGUGGGGUAAUGGCCUACCAAGGCGGCGACGGGUAGCUGGCCUGAGAGGGUGGACGGCCACAUUGGGACUGAGAUACGGCCCAGACUCCUACGGGAGGCAGCAGUGGGGAAUAUUGCACAAUGGGCGCAAGCCUGAUGCAGCGACGCCGCGUGGGGGAUGACGGCCUUCGGGUUGUAAACUCCUUUCGCUAGGGACGAAGCUUUUGUGACGGUACCUAGAUAAGAAGCACCGGCUAACUACGUG
rnacentral:rRNA from 1 species